CCAAACACACACUAAAAAUUAAAAUGCAACCUAUUCUACAAAUUUAAAUGCAAAAGUAAAAGAGAGAAUCUAGGUUGCCUCCUAGUAGCGCUUGUUUAACGUCACGAGCCUGACCCAAACCUGUUUAGCACUUGUCAGUAAGUGCAAUUCCUUUCAACACCCAUCAGUAGGUGUGCCUUCCUGGUAUCCUCUGUGGAUACAUAAUAAUUUAGCAUCCCUCAGUAGAUGCUACCCAAAAAUUGUUCAAAAAUAAACCAAUAUUUACAAAUCCAACUAAAAGAAAAAUAGUAUACAACAAUCACUGGGUGUCUCCCAGUUAGCGCUCUUUUAACGUCAUUAGCUUGACCCGGUAGAGUUCAAACACCCAUCAGUAGGCGUUGAUACUCCUUUUGCUUGCUAUUUUCUUCUUUUUCUUCUUCCUACUGAAUCUCUUCAAAAAGUUGAUCAAACCAAGCACCGGUUUCCAUGUUUCAAUCAUAGGAAUUUUGAUCUACAAUUUCUUGAAGAUCUCCAUCAGUACUUGAACUUCUUUUCCUUCCUAUGAUUUUUCUUUUUAUGAGGAAGGGGCUUUUCAUAUGAUCUUUUCUUCUUUCCUCUCUUUCUCUUUUUCUCAACCUUCUCCUUCUUCCACUUUCUUUUUUCUUUUUUUCUUUUUUUCUUAUUUUUUCUUUUUUUCUCAACCACUGCUUUUACUUUCUCCUCAUCUUUCUCUCCCUCACUCAACCUUUCUGCUUCAUCUUCCUCUAUUUUCUCCUCUUCUAUCUUUUCCACUUCUCUCUCCACCUUCUCCUCAUCAACAACCUCAUCAAUUUGUGUCUCCAAAUUCCUGAAGGUAACUUCAUAUCUCUUGGAAUCACA
rnacentral:lncRNA from 1 species